UUUUUAAGAAGACUACAUUAGCAUUGAAAAGUUAAGAGCUAGCUAGAAAUUAAGACACAACUUUUCACGACCGUUGGCUGGUAGCUACCAUCUGGCAACCAUUUAUCGCAACUUGAAUUCCCUCUACCAGCCCCGCUGCUACAAUUGCUUUUUUCUCCUUAUUGCUGGUGGAAAUCUGAAGGAUUCAACCUCUCAAGUGACCUAACUUAACCAAACCUAUGUGUGUUAAUUAUGCUAUAGGCUCCUAGAGAUGUUGUGCAAAUCAAAGAGGACUAGAACGUUGAAAGAGCUCCCAAAGCUGCAGUCAGUAAUCAGUACUCUAGUCUUGGCGUCU
rnacentral:lncRNA from 1 species